CAGUCGAGCGAAUGGAUUGAGAGCUUGCUCUCAUGAAGUUAGCGGCGGACGGGUGAGUAACACGUGGGUAACCUGCCCAUAAGACUGGGAUAACUCCGGGAAACCGGGGCUAAUACCGGAUAACAUUUUGAACUGCAUGGUUCGAAAUUGAAAGGCGGCUUCGGCUGUCACUUAUGGAUGGACCCGCGUCGCAUUAGCUAGUUGGUGAGGUAACGGCUCACCAAGGCAACGAUGCGUAGCCGACCUGAGAGGGUGAUCGGCCACACUGGGACUGAGACACGGCCCAGACUCCUACGGGAGGCAGCAGUAGGGAAUCUUCCGCAAUGGACGAAAGUCUGACGGAGCAACGCCGCGUGAGUGAUGAAGGCUUUCGGGUCGUAAAACUCUGUUGUUAGGGAAGAACAAGUGCUAGUUGAAUAAGCUGGCACCUUGACGGUACCUAACCAGAAAGCCACGGCUAACUACGUGCCAGCAGCCGCGGUAAUACGUAGGUGGCAAGCGUUAUCCGGAAUUAUUGGGCGUAAAGCGCGCGCAGGUGGUUUCUUAAGUCUGAUGUGAAAGCCCACGGCUCAACCGUGGAGGGUCA
rnacentral:rRNA from 1 species